rnacentral:rRNA from 1 species
CCUUUGACGUUAGCGGCGGACGGGUGAGUAACACGUGGGUAACCUACCUAUAAGACUGGGAUAACUUCGGGAAACCGGAGCUAAUACCGGAUAAUAUUUCGAACCGCAUGGUUCGAUAGUGAAAGGUGGUUUUGCUAUCACUUAUAGAUGGACCCGCGCCGUAUUAGCUAGUUGGUAAGGUAACGGCUUACCAAGGCGACGAUACGUAGCCGACCUGAGAGGGUGAUCGGUCACACUGGAACUGAGACACGGUCCAGACUCCUACGGGAGGGCAGCAGCA